GAGCAUCAAGGAGCAUCUCUGUAUACUGUGUACAAACAAACAAAUAUAAUGUGUGUGUAUCUUUAUACGAAUAUGCAAAUUUUGCAAAGUGCAUGAGGCAAAUACCCAUAAAUCCAUGGAUAGUACUAUACAGAUCUCACUUUCAAUCAAUUUAAAAAAUCAAGUCUAACUAGCGCAUAGGAGACUUGAGCUUAUAGGUAUGAAGCAGUCCUUGAUUAUUGUUCUUGCUGUUAAAGCAACCAUGGUGGACAUUAGGUGUGUUGUCAAACUGCAUUAUGUGGUGCAACAUAGUGUAAUAUUAUUAGAUUAGUAAUCUUGGCAUUCCAAGACUACGAGUAUUACAUAAUCGUCAAUGAGUUGCUAGCCACGUACCUGAUGAUAGAAAAAUUGCAGAGUCAUCCUCUGUGCCAUCUCAAGAUGUUCGAGCACCAGCAAGUGAUUGAAUCUAACGACGAUCCAACAAAAGAAGUCAUGAAAAUUCAAUCAAUGUGAAAACACAGCUCAUUUCGUUGAUGGCAAGAAAACAUAUUUGUCUGUUGAAGUUCCCUUCCCUGAAACAUUAAAAUAUGUGCAUCUCAUGCAUGAGCUAGAAUGUCAUCCAGAAUGUGAAUUGGCCCCAGAUGACCUAAGCUGUUAAACAAGCCCCGGACCAACACAUU
rnacentral:misc_RNA from 1 species